rnacentral:rRNA from 1 species
UACGUAGGGUGCAGGCGUUAAUCGGAAUUACUGGGCGUAAAGCGUGCGCAGGCGGUUUGCUAAGACAGGUGUGAAAUCCCCGGGCUUAACCUGGGAACUGCGCUUGUAACUGGCAAGCUGGGAGUGUGGCAGAGGGGGGUGGAAUUCCGACGUGUAGCAGUGAAAUGCGUAGAGAUGUGGAGGAACACCGAUGGCGAAGGCAGCCCCCUGGGCUAACACUGACGCUCAUGCACGAAAGCGUGGGGAGCAAACAGG